rnacentral:rRNA from 1 species
UACGAAGGGGGGCUAGCGUUGCUCGGAAUCACUGGGCGUAAAGCGCAUGUAGGCGGACUCUUAAGUCGGUGGUGAAAUCCUGGAGCUCAACUCCAGAACUGCCUUCGAUACUGAGAGUCUCGAGUCCGGGAGAGGUGAGUGGAACUGCGAGUGUAGAGGUGAAAUUCGUAGAUAUUCGCAAGAACACCAGUGGCGAAGGCGGCUCACUGGCCCGGUACUGACGCUGAGGUGCGAAAGCGUGGGGAGCAAACAGG